UGGGGUUGUGGCUCAAUGGUAGAGCGCUUACCUAGCAUGUGCAAACCACUGGGUUCAAUCCUCAGCACCACAA
rnacentral:tRNA from 1 species